GGGGAAUUUUCCGCAAUGGGCGAAAGCCUGACGGAGCAAGACCGCGUGGGGGAGGAAGGCUCUAGGGUUGUAAACCCCUUUUCUUUGGGAAGAAGUUCUGACGGUACCAAAGGAAUCAGCCUCGGCUAACUCCGUGCCAGCAGCCGCGGUAAUACGGAGGAGGCAAGCGUUAUCCGGAAUGAUUGGGCGUAAAGCGUCCGCAGGUGGCCAUGUAAGUCUGCUGUCAAAACCCAGGGCUCAACUCUGGUCAGGCAGUGGAAACUACGUAGCUAGAGUCUGGUAGGGGUAAAGGGAAUUCCCGGUGUAGCGGUGAAAUGCGUAGAGAUCGGAAGGAACACCGAUGGCGAAGGCACUUUACUGGGCUAUUACUAACACUCAGAGACGAAAGCUAGGG
rnacentral:rRNA from 1 species